UGUGUACUCCCUCCAUUCCAAAAUACUUGACUUCCAUUUGUCCAAAAAUGGAUGUACGUAUAUACUAAGGCAUGUCUAGGCACAUAUAUAUUUUGACAAAUAGAAGGCAUGUAUUGUGCAAUGGAGGGAGUAGAAU
rfam:Triticum urartu cultivar G1812 contig123724, whole genome shotgun sequence.